GAUGAACGCUAGCGGCAGGCUUAAUACAUGCAAGUCGAGGGACAGCACAGGUAGCAAUACUGGGUGGUAACCGGCAAACGGGUGCGGAACACGUACACAACCUUCCUUUAAGUGGGGGAUAGCCCAGAGAAAUUUGGAUUAAUACCCCGUAAUAUAGUUGAAUGGCAUCAUUUGAUUAUUAUAGCUACGGCGCUUAAUGAUGGGUGUGGCGGCUGAUUAGAUAGUUGGCGGGGUAACGGCCCACCAAGUCUACGAUCAGUAGCUGAUGUGAGAGCAUGAUCAGCCACACGGGAACUGGGACACGGGCCCGACUCCUACGGGAGGCAGCAGUAAGGAAUAUUGGUCAAUGGACGCAAGUCUGAACCAGCCAUGCCGCGUGAAGGAUUAAGGUCCUCUGGAUUGUAAACUUCUUUUAUUUGGGACGAAAGAGGGCCUUUCUAGGUCAACUGACGGUACCAGAUGAAUAAGCACCGGCUAACUCCGUGCCAGCCGCCGCCGUAAUAC
rnacentral:rRNA from 1 species